rnacentral:pre_miRNA from 1 species
UUAACUAAAAUUUAUAUGAAGUUGUAACGUUUACCUACGUUUGCCGCUAAGGGCGCUGUUCCAAAUGCAUACAAAUUUGAGUUA